CGAACCCUGUAACACCUCAUGACACCCACAAAUUCGCGUAGGUGUGUCUGAAUGUAAUAAUUUAGUGUUUGCCUCUUCAAUUCCACAGGUACUAGCGACCCGUAUGUCAAAUUCAAAGCCGAUGGCAAACAGAUUUACAAGAGUCGUACCAUCCCCAAAAACCUCAAUCCCCAAUGGAACGAGAAGUUUUGUGUCCCGAUUGAAGACAUUAGUAUGCCACUGGUGAUCAAAGUGUUUGAUUUUGACCGGGUUAGCAGCGAUGACCCGAUGGGGAUGGUUACUGUCGAUUUAUCACAGAUGGAAGUAAACAGGUAGGCGCUGUUUUCUGCUACUUUUGUAAAAUUCUGUCAAAUUGAAAAGACUGGGUAGUUCUCGUGUAUAUACCUUUGUAAACGCCAUACAAAUGAAUCAUUUCCUAUGCAAACUUGUUACAAGCAAGCAGUAGUGGUUGCAACUCGCAUUCUGCAUCGAAUUUACGGCCGCUUAUAUGAAAACUAGUACUAACUGUACUUACAGUUAGAGAAAAGUGUGUGUUAUUUAAAUUGUUUCCGAGUUGCCAAAACUACGUUGCAACUUAACUUGUUAAGGGCCAGGGGUAAUUUCUUGGCGUCACUUGUUAGAGUCAUUUGUUUAACUCAUUAAGUGACAGCACUCUCCUCUGGUCGAGUAAAAUCGUCUGGCAUUAGACAGAGUAAACUACAAAAGUAGGGGGCGUAUUGUCACUUAAUGCAUGGGCUAAAGAUAUAUUGCUUGCUAUAUCCUCACGCGAUAUUUGUUCCAAAAUGCCGGAAUGCAUUCCUAGUGGUUCAAAUUAGUCUCAAUCUAAAACGUCUGUAGCCUGAACCCACUAUAUGCCGUAUCUGUAACUUUUUAUUUUCUUGAUUCAGAAUGACGCAACUUAAAAGUAAUAAAUCAUGAUUAUUUUGUCUUUGAUUAGACCACGAGAUCUUACAUUGGAUCUGCAAAGUGCCAGUGGAACAAAUGAAAAACUUGGUCAGAUUACAGCGACCUUCACUUUGAUGCCAAAGACCAACGAAGAUAGGCAGGAGGUGCGGGAAUUUUCGUUAUUGGUGGU
rnacentral:lncRNA from 1 species